ACUGAAAGGAGUUUCAAUGAUGCUAUGAUAAAGAUCAUUGUAUAUCUCACUACCAUAUAGAAUUGAACCUAUGAGGUCGCACAAUAAAGGGAUUAGAUUUGGAAUAAGCAAUUGAGCUUAUGAAGUCUCAAUUGUGUUUAGAAAAAUUCUGUUAGGUUCAGGGUAACUUUGCUAGUACAUGGUUGGACUCAAUUUUUUCUUUAUAUUUAAAUUUUUUAUUUGAUAAGAUUAAUUUAAGUUUAAUUAUCUAUUAAUAAUCUAAAUAAAUUAGAUUAUUAGGCUCCAAUUGUUGGAUGCCUAAGAUUUUGAAUCAAAUGUAUUAAGGGUUCAAACCCUUAAUCA
rnacentral:lncRNA from 1 species